GCCCUAACUCCAUUGGUUCCUUCACUUUCAAUAGACUCCUUGCCAACCCAUUCUCAGCAAACGUCUGGGACUAGGGCCUCAACGAGAUCACAAAACUGAGGCUCAGAGAAAGAACAGCUUGCCAGAGUCACACAGAGAGGAAGUAUAAAGAAUCAAGAUUGGAACCAGGUCUUCUGCCUGCUUCUGGACCCUAUGCAAGAAAUCAAAGGAAAACUGUUUGAAGAUGGUUAGGAAUCUGUGAAAUGGAGCUGUUAAUGAAGAUCUGCUUGGGGUCCCUGUGAGAGCAUGUCGCUGAAGUUCUAGGCGCUUCCUUGGGAUGGACAGAUGCUGGAAGGAAGUUGGCGCCAGGCCUGCAGAGGCUGAGUGUUCAUAACAGCGUGGGGUGCACUGAGAAGACUGAUGGCUCCCCGGAAUAUAAGCACUGCCGAGAAAGAAUUUUGCCCCGAGGGUGCACUAAAGCUCUACUGGUCGGCUGGUUCUCGCUUUAGUUGGGUCGUGUUAUUGCUGUUUCUACAGCUGAGGCCUGUUGAGAUAAAUCUGCUUUUCCGAUUUCAUUAUGUGAAUUUAACAUGGUAAAACAAUGCAGAAAGUCAGGCAAGCAUCCUGGGU